rnacentral:rRNA from 1 species
CCUACGGGAGGCAGCAGUAGGGAAUUUUCGGCAAUGGGCGCAAGCCUGACCGAGCAACGCCGCGUGAACGAUGAAGGUCUUAUGGAUUGUAAAGUUCUGUUACGAGGGAAGAACAGCACUGAUAGGAAAUGAUCAGUGUGUGACGGUACCUCGCCAGAAAGCCACGGCUAACUACGUGCCAGCAGCCGCGGUAAU